GCUGCCGCCGCGCCGGCCGGUGGCUCGGCGGCAGCCAGGGCGGCCGGGAGCGGCAGUGCGGAGGUCGACGACGACAAGGUGCUCGUAGAGCACGACGUGCCGCUGGACGCGGACCGGGAGGACUGCGAGCUUCUGAGGCGCACCGAGGAGUUCUGGGACGCGCUCGACGCCUCGCGCUGGCUGCCGCCGGACACCCUCAACCCCGAACUCAGCUUGGUCAUGCAGACGUGAUGCGCUGGGGAGGAGGACGGCGCUGUGGGGGAGGGGAGGGGCGUAGGGAUCGCUGCUGUUUGUGUUACGUCGUGUGUAUGCGUUGAUUAGCGCAGACUGUGUUUAUUUUGUAGUUAAUUAGCAUGUGUUGGGGUUCGUUUCACCAGUGUUUUUCAUCAGCGCGCCAUCAGUCGUGAGUGCAGAACAACGUAAUACAUGGCAAUGUCGAGUGCAGCGUGUUUCCAAGUCAUGGCUCGCAGUUAAUGCGUUUAGCAUCCUCAAACGCUACCUCAGGGGAAAAUGGUGUUUCGUGUGGCGUUUAUCUUACCUUGCGAUGGCAUGGUGCGUGCGGGGCCUGCGUUCAGGUUCGCUCCUUAGGACCGGGCAUUCACUUUGUCACUAAAUCCACGGCACUAUCAUGCGCGAAUGUAAAAUAAACCCAAUGUGUA